rnacentral:rRNA from 1 species
AACGAACGCUGGCGGCAUGCCUAACACAUGCAAGUCGAACGAGACCUUCGGGUCUAGUGGCGCACGGGUGCGUAACGCGUGGGAACCUGCCCUUAGGUUCGGAAUAACUCCCCGAAAGGGGUGCUAAUACCGGAUAAUGUCUUCGGACCAAAGAUUUAUUGCCUUUGGAUGGGCCCGCGUUGGAUUCGCUAGUUGGUAGGGUAAAAGCCUACCAAGGCGACGAUCCAUAGCUGGUCUGAGAGGAUGAUCAGCCACACUGGGACUGAGACACGGCCCAGACUCCUACGGGAGGCAGCAGUAGGGAAUAUUAGACAAUGGGCGAAAGCCUGAUCCAGCAAUGCCGCGGGAGUGAUGAAGGCCUUAGGGUUGUAAAGCUCUUUUACCCGGGAUGAUAAUGACAGUACCGGGAGAAUAAGCACCGGCUAACUCCGUG